CUGUAGUCAAUUCAGAUCUGUUCUUUUUAAUGACGUUUUGCACGGAGAAGAAUAAAAUAAGUGCGCGAUCAAUAAUCACGGAGUGAAAAGGACACAUGUCAAAAGGAAGCUUCAGAUAAAAAGGACAGAGCUUUUAUCAGCUGUUCCGUACACAACGCACAUCCCGCGCGAGGCUGUCAAUGAAAUGUCAGCGCAGCCCAUUGGUUUCAGUGAAAGUGACUCACUUCUCGGCAACGUCGUGGUCUCGUCGUUACAGACGGAAAAACGCAACCAACAAGGCUUAUUGUACGUUUCUUUAUCAGAGAAAAAUUUUGCGUUUAUUUAAAGAUACAACGGUGCGACAUCGGAAGACUAAGGAAUGCUCACACGUUGCGAUCGAGCACUCGUCUCUCUGUGUGCAAGCGUUCGAUUUGGAGCCGCUGCGUCGCGAUUAACUCACGAGCAGGUCGCGACGUCACAACGUGUCCAAGGCGCCCGACUAUUAUUAACUACAUCAGUUCGAUCAGCGCUCUUAGGAGGUACCCAUGCUUUCAAGAGAAGAAGGGAAAGGCACGUAAGGAGCUGUACGAAUCGUUGCACAAUUCACGAAGCUUGUGCAUCGCAUGCGGCAAUAGCAUAGCGGCAAGCAGGAUCCGGCCCUUGGAGAGGACCUUGUCGGUGCAGAGAUCCAUGUCCUCGCGGCCUGACGACGGC